CACUUUUCAAUCACAUUUCAUCAACUUUUAUCAAAAUUUACUAAAAAUUCUGAUUCAAGUUCAUCAAACGAAUGAAGUGUUGGUCAGAGAAAUAGCUAUAUUUCAACUUCUAAGUUUGUUAGAUCCUCACAUGACAAGCCAACACUGACGAAGAUGAAUUACUCGCCUUAUUAAUUCAAGUAUUUUGUAUUUUGUAAUGGAAGUUGAACAGAGAUGGUAUAUCUUAAUGGCACCAUGAUUAUAACAGAAAAAUAAUCGCAGAAAAAUUUAUAUUCAGAAUUAAACGAUAUAGCAUAGUAUCAAACCAUCCUCCCACGAUACUGAACUCGAAAAGGAUAGGCACCCCCAUCUCUCCCUUCUUUAAAAUAUGCAUUGAAUUGAAGACCCCUUUUUUUUUUCUUUUUUCUUUUUUUGGGUCCCAUUACUAACGAUCUAAGUUGUUAUUUCUUCAUUUAUCCUCAAUUGUUGUGACUCUAGUUGUUGAGAUAUAAUUCCCAUUUCUAAAUUAUAGAUUUUCAUUGAAGAGCUUUACGUAUUGCCAUGAACUGAAAUUUGCUGAUGAUUAUCUGUCUGUAUUGCUCAAAGACUUGGUUUUGGGUAAAUAUUUCUAAAGAAAGCAAGCAAUUCAAAAUCCUGCCAAACAUAUUCUCAAUAUAUAGUUCAAAAUGCAGGCAAAAUUUAAAAUUUUAAAAAGAUAAAAAGAGACAAAGGCAAAGCAUGAUAGCAAAACAGAGGUGGAUUAAAUCAAAAUUUAUGCAGUGGAAAAAUGAUAAUACAGAUCGGAUCGAAGCAAAGCACACCACCAACAAUAAAAAGUAGCCAAACCUAUUGAUAGCGCACUAUUGAGUGAGAUAAUAGCUAAACUCAAGUACUUUCUUACUCUGGCUACUGUCAAAAAUGGUCUCCUUUUUUGUUUCUCCAGCUUGACGCCUCAACUAGCAUAACUCCAUUCUGCACAUGCGUAGACAAGUAUGUAAACAAAUAAAUCAAAUGCCACAAUGUUCCACUGCAUAUCUAAAAAUUAUCAGCUGAACAACCUCUAAUGUGCAAAAUGAAGCUUCACCUGUAGCAAGAUCCGAAAGCAGAUUAAGGGCCCGUUUGGGAUGGCUUUUGAAAAGCCAAAAGGAGCUUUUGAGAGCCAAAAGCCGCUUUUGGACCGUUUGGCUA
rnacentral:lncRNA from 1 species